rnacentral:rRNA from 1 species
CAGCAGCCGCGGUAAUACGUAGGGUGCAAGCGUUAAUCGGAAUUACUGGGCGUAAAGCGUGCGCAGGCGGUUUGUUAAGACAGAUGUGAAAUCCCCGGGCUCAACCUGGGAACUGCAUUUGUGACUGGCAAGCUAGAGUGUGGCAGAGGGGGGUGGAAUUCCGCGUGUAGCAGUGAAAUGCGUAGAUAUGCGGAGGAACACCGAUGGCGAAGGCAGCCCCCUAGGCCAACACUGACGCUCAUGCACGAAAGCGUGGGGAGCAAACAGGAUUAGAUACCCGUGUAGUCCCUGUCUCUUAUAC